GUAGGUGAACCUGCGGAAGGAUCAUUACCGAGUUAGGGUCUUUUUGGCCCGAUCUCCAACCCUGUGUUUAAAUUAUCCUGUUGCUUCGGCGAGCCCGUCCCUAGGGGCCGCCGGAGGCUUUGUCGCCUCUGGUCAGUGCUCGUCAGUAGCCCCCACAAACCCUUUUUAAACUGUGUUGUCUGAGUAUAAAUUUAAAUCGUUAAAACUUUCAACAACGGAUCUCUUGGUUCUG
rnacentral:misc_RNA from 1 species